rnacentral:tRNA from 1 species
AGUAGGAUGGCUGAAUAAUAGGCGAUAAAUUGUAAAUUUAUUUAUGAAUUGAAUUCUUCUACUA